AGCGAGAUGGCGCAGCUGGUAGCGCGCUGGGCUCAUAACCCAGAGGUCGUCACUGACUCUCGCUA
rnacentral:tRNA from 1 species